rnacentral:rRNA from 1 species
UUUAAAAUGGUGGCAUUCCAUCUUAUUAGAGGAACCUGUAGCUUAAUCGACAACCCACGAUAAUUUUUACUCUAAUUAAAAAUUUAUAUACCGCCAUCUUAAAUUAAUUCAAUAAUAAUAUUUACACACUUUUAAAAAACUUGCUAGGUCAAGGUGUAGUUUAUAUUUAAGGCUACUAUGGGUUACCUUUUAAAAAAUUUAAGGAUUUUAAUAUAAAAAUAUUUUUUGAAAAAGGAUUUAAAAGUAAUAACAAAAUAAUAUUUUGUUAUGAUUAAGAUAAUAAAUGUGCACACAUCGCCCGUCGCUCUUAAA